rnacentral:rRNA from 1 species
AACAAACGCUGGCGGCGUGCCUAAUACAUGCAAGUCGAACGGGUAGCAAUACCAGUGGCGCACGGGUGAGGAAUACAUAGAUAAUCUGCCUUCGAGUCGGGGAUAACCAGUCGAAAGAUUGGCUAAUACCGGAUAAGACCACAAGAUCUGCGGAUCAAGGGGUUAAAGGUUUUUCGCUUGAAGAUGAGUCUAUGUGAGAUUAGCUAGUUGGUGAGGUAAUGGCUCACCAAGGCGACGAUCUCUAACUGGUCUUAGAGGAUGAUCAGUCACACUGGAACUGAGACACGGUCCAGACUCCUACGGGAGGCAGCAGUAGGGAAGAUUGCGCAAUGGGGGAAACCCUGACGCAGCGACGCCGCGUGAGUGAUGGAGGCCUUCGGGUCGUAAAGCUCUGUCGUAUGGGAAUAACACAAUGAAUGUACCAUGCAAGAAAGGAUCGGCUAACUUCGUGCCAGCCGCCGCCGUAAUAC